rnacentral:misc_RNA from 1 species
GUGAAUCAUCGAAUCUUUGAACGCACAUUGCGCCCUUUGGCAUUCCGAGGGGCAUGCCCGUUCGAGCGUCAUUUAAACCACUCAAGCCUAGCUUGGUAUUGGGCGUCGGGGACCUCCCCGCGCCUCCAUGUCGCCGGCUGGCCGUCGUUUGACUUAGCGUUGUGAGACACAUGUCGCUGACGACGAAGACAGACCGCGCCGUUAGAAUUUUCGGAGACGUUAAUCAACGUCCCGUACAGGUUGACCUCGGAUCGGGUAGGAAUACCCGCUGAACUUAAGCAUAUCAAUAAGCGGAGGA